rnacentral:rRNA from 1 species
AUUGAACGCUGGCGGCAUGCUUUACACAUGCAAGUCGGACGGCAGCACAGAGACGCUUGCUUCUUGGGUGGCGAGUGGCGAACGGGUGAGUAAUAUAUCGGAACGUACCGAGUAAUGGGGGAUAACUAAUCGAAAGAUUAGCUAAUACCGCAUAUUCUCUGAGGAGGAAAGCAGGGGACCUUCGGGCCUUGCGUUAUUCGAGCGGCCGUUAUCUGAUUAGCUAGUUGGUGGGGUAAAGGCCUACCAAGGCGACGAUCAGUAGCGGGUCUGAAAGGAUGAUCCGCCACACUGGGACUGAGACACGGCCCAGACUCCUACGGGAGGCAGCAGUGGGGAAUUUUGGACAAUGGGCGCAAGCCUGAUCCAGCCAUGCCGCGUGUCUGAAGAAGGCCUUCGGGUUGUAAAGGACUUUUGUCAGGGAAGAAAAGGCUGUUGCUAAUACCGACAGCUGAUGACGGUACCUGAAGAAUAAGCACCGGCUAACUACGUG